CAGAUGCUGUCAGUGUGCAAUAAAUGUCUGAAAGGGAGAAACAGGAGCAAGAGUUUGGAAGCAGAACAGUUGGGGGAAUGAGGGAGACUAACGGACAGGGCAUGUUCCUCUGGUGCCACGUGAGACAGGCAGCGAUGUUGCCAAGUGUCCCGGAAGCUGGACGGGAAUCAGGCACCGAGCGCCUUGUAUCCUGAUUAGCUGGCAAGUCUUUUCUUUCUCCCAUGGCACAGAAGACCCCAGAAGGGUUUUAAGUCAGGAGGUGACGUGACUGGAGGUGCAACACCAGCUGGCCACGGGAUGGAGGAAGGGUCCCUGGCCUUACACAGCGCUCACCCCAGGCCCUGCUGGCCCAGCACACAGCAGGUGAGCUGCAGUCAGCCACUGCGGUGGCAACAACCCACUGAGGCACCGAAUUAAACAAAAAAGGGUUGAGGUUAUGAAAGGAGAGGUUCCAGCUAGAGUUCAAGAAAGUCUUCCAGACCUGCCUGCAGAGAAUUAAACCCAGACACUGUGAAGUGCCCGUCCCAUCCUUCAAGAACCAGCUCAGAUGCCUCCUCUCUGGGAAGCCUUUCCUGCGCCCCCAAGGCUGUUGCUCACUGGAGAGCCCUGAGAGCAGGCAUUAUACUGCAUCCCAUUUGUAUAUUUUGUAUCCCUUUCUAUCUCAUAAAUGGGGCAGGAAUUCAAUCAAGACCUGAGUCAAUUUAUUUUAUUUAUACUGAGAACUUCUGUGGCAGUCUCUGUGCUAGGGGAAUACGGAGGACACAGGACACAAUGCACAGUCCAGUUCAGGGAGAACCAAUGAAUGGAGUUGGUACAAAAGCUAGCGUUGGGGUUUGAGAGUGAUACUUACACCCCCUCCCCAAGUUCAGGCCAGCUGAGAGGUAUGCACACAGG
rnacentral:lncRNA from 1 species